UAUGGCAACAAUUUCUAUAAUCUGCAUUUUACAGAUGAAGACAUGUUUACUUUGAACAACUGCCAGCACGGAAGCUAUUACUAUGUUACAGUUAAAGGGACAUGGAACCCAAUUUUCUUUUUCUUUCAGAAUUUCAAUAGAACAUAAAAUGUUAAACAACUCUCCAAUUCAUUCUCUUGGUAUCCUUUAUUGAAGGAGAAGCAAUGCACUACUGGGAGCAAGCUGAAGACAUCGAGUGCCAUGUAUUGGAUAAAAUUGAGACAUCACUACGCCCUCUACUGGACAUCAGCUGCAAAUACCAAACAAACAACGAAACAGCUAAUUGGCGAAUAAGGAUCGAGGUUUGGAGACCUUCUAGCUGUUAGCCAGCAAUCUGGAAUAUUUGGGAAUUUCUUCUAUCUCAUCGCUAUCACACCAGUGAUUAAAAAGGAGCUGCACAAGGGAAAAAAGAGAACUGCUUCUACUUUUGGACUUUGCCACACGAGCAUUUAAAGAGACAUACACUGCAAUAAAGUAG